rnacentral:rRNA from 1 species
AGAGUUUGAUCCUGGCUCAGAACGAACGCUGGCGGCAGGCUUAACACAUGCAAGUCGAGCGGGCCCUUCGGGGUCAGCGGCGGACGGGUUAGUAACGCGUGGGAACGUGCCCUUUGCUCUGGAAUAGCCCUGGGAAACCGGGGGUAAUACCGGAUGUGCCCUGAGGGGGAAAGGUUUACCGGCAAGGGAUCGGCCCGCGUCUGAUUAGGUAGUUGGUGGGGUAAUGGCCCACCAAGCCUACGAUCGGUAGCUGGUUUGAGAGGAUGAUCAGCAACACUGGGACUGGGACACGGCCCAGACUCCUACGGGAGGCAGCAGUGGGGAAUCUUAGACAAUGGGCGAAAGCCUGAUCUAGCCAUGCCGCGUGGGUGAUGAAGGCCUUAGGGUCGUAAAGCCCUUUCGCCGGGGAAGAUAAUGACGGUACCCGGUAAAGAAACCCCGGCUAACUCCGUGCCAGCAGCCGCGGUAAUACGGAGGGGGUUAGCGUUGUUCGGAAUGACUGGGCGUAAAGCGCGCGUAGGCGGAUCGCAAAGUUGGGGGUGAAAGCCCAGGGCUCAACCCUGGAAUUGCCUUCAAGACUCGCGGUCUGGAGUUCGAGAGAGGUGGGUGGAAUUCCGAGUGUAGAGGUGAAAUUCGUAGAUAUUCGGAGGAACACCAGUGGCGAAGGCGGCCCACUGGCUCGACACUGACGCUGAGGCGCGAAAGCGCGGGGAGCAAACAGGAUUAGAUACCCCAGUAGUCC